CCUACGGGGGGCUGCAGUGAGGAAUAUUGGUCAAUGGACGGAAGUCUGAACCAGCCAUGCCGCGUGCAGGACGACGGCUCCAUGCAUUGUAAACUGCUUUUGUACAAGGAUAAAACUAAAUACGUGUAUUUAGCUGAGAGUACUGUACGAAUAAGCAUCGGCUAACUCCGUGCCAGCAGCCGCGGUAAUACGGAGGAUGCGAGCGUUAUCCGGAUUUAUUGGGUUUAAAGGGUGCGUAGGCGGUUCAAUAAGUUAGCGGUGAAAUUUCCUAGCUUAACUCUGGAACUGCCUCUAAUACUGUUGAUCUAGAGAGUAGAUGCGGUAGGCGGAAUGUAUGGUGUAGCGGUGAAAUGCUUAGAGAUCAUACAGAACACCGAUUGCGAAGGCAGCUUACCAAUCUAUAUCUGACGUUGAGGCACGAAAGCGUGGGGAGCAAACAGGAUUAGAUACCCCAGUAGUC
rnacentral:rRNA from 1 species